rnacentral:rRNA from 1 species
UACGUAGGGUGCGAGCGUUAAUCGGAAUUACUGGGCGUAAAGCGUGCGCAGGCGGUUUUGUAAGCCAGGUGUGAAAUCCCCGGGCUCAACCUGGGAAUGGCGCUUGGGACUGCAAGGCUGGAGUGCGGCAGAGGAGACUGGAAUUCCUGGUGUAGCAGUGAAAUGCGUAGAUAUCAGGAGGAAUACCGAUGGCGAAGGCAGGUCUCUGGGCUGACACUGACGCUCAUGCACGAAAGCGUGGGGAGCAAACAGG